GUAGUACUCCCUCCGUCCCAAAAUAAGUGUCUUAACCUUAGAACAACAUUGUACUCCCUCUGUAAACAAAUAUAAGAGCGUUUAGAUUACUAAAAUAAUGAUCUAAACGCUCUUAUAUUUCUUUACGGAGGGAGUACUAAAGUUAGUACAACGUUGAGAUACUUAUUUUGGGACGGAGGGAGUAGUUU
rnacentral:pre_miRNA from 1 species